CAGCCGCCGCGGUAAUACCGGCGGCCCGAGUGGGGGUCACUAUUAUUGGGCUUAAAGCGUCCGUAGCCGGGUUGGGAAGUCCUCCGGGAAAUCUGGCCGCUUAACGGUCAGAAUGCCGGAGGAUACUCCCAGCCUAGGGAGCGGGAGAGGCCGAGGGUAUUCCCGGAGUAGGGGUGAAAUCCUAUAAUCCCGGGAGGACCACCUGUGGCGAAGGCGCUCGGCUGGAACGCGUCCGACGGUGAGGGACGAAGGCCAGGGGAGCAAACCGGAUUAGAUACCCGGGUAGUCCUGGCUGUAAACGAUGCGGACUUUGUGUCGGACAAGCUAUGAGCUUGUCCGGUGCCGGAGGGAAACCGUUAAGUCCGCCGCCUGGGGAGUACGGCCGCAAGGCUGAAACUUAAAGGAAUUGGCGGG
rnacentral:rRNA from 1 species